rnacentral:rRNA from 1 species
UAGGGAAUCUUCGGCAAUGGGGGGAACCCUGACCGAGCAACGCCGCGUGAGUGAAGAAGGUUUUCGGAUCGUAAAGCUCUGUUGUUAAGGAAGAACGAGUGUGAGAAAGGAAAGUUCAUGCUGUGACGGUACUUAACCAGAAAGGGACGGCUAACUACGUGCCAGCAGCCGCGGUAAUACGUAGGUCCCGAGCGUUGUCCGGAUUUAUUGGGCGUAAAGCGAGCGCAGGCGGUUAGAAAAGUCUGAAGUGAAAGGCAGUGGCUCAACCAUUGUAGGCUUUGGAAACUGUUUAACUUGAGUGCAGAAGGGGAGAGUGGAAUUCCAUGUGUAGCGGUGAAAUGCGUAGAUAUAUGGAGGAACACCGGUGGCGAAAGCGGCUCUCUGGUCUGUAACUGACGCUGAGGCUCGAAAGCGUGGGGAGCGAACAGG